rnacentral:rRNA from 1 species
UACAGAGGGGGCAAGCGUUGUUCGGAAUUACUGGGCGUAAAGGGCGCGUAGGCGGCCUGUUAAGUCGAACGUGAAAUCCCUGGGCUCAACCCAGGAACUGCGUCUGAUACUGGAUGGCUUGAGUGUGGGAGAGGGAUGCGGAAUUCCAGGUGUAGCGGUGAAAUGCGUAGAUAUCUGGAGGAACACCGGUGGCGAAGGCGGCAUCCUGGACCAUUACUGACACUGAAUAGCGAAAGCCAGGGGAGCAAACGGG